CCUACGGGAGGCAGCAGUGAGGAAUAUUGGUCAAUGGACGCGAGUCUGAACCAGCCAUGCCGCGUGCAGGAAGACUGCUCUAUGAGUUGUAAACUGCUUUUGUACGAGGGUAAACGCAGAUACGCGUGUCUUUCUGAAAGUAUCUUACGAAUAAGGAUCGGCUAACUCCGUGCCAGCAGCCGCGGUAAUACGGAGGAUUCAAGCGUUAUCCGGAUUUAUUGGGUUUAAAGGGUGCGUAGGCGGGUUGAUAAGUUAGAUGUGAAAUCCCGCGGCUCAACCUCGGAAUUGCAAUUGAUACUGGCAGGCUAGAGAGUAGUUGCGGUAGGCGGAAUGCAUGGUGUAGCGGUGAAAUGCUUAGAGAUCACAAAGAACACCGAUUGCGAAGGCAGCUUGCUAAGCUACCUCUGACGUUGAGGCACGAAAGUGUGGGGAGCAAACAGGAUUAGAUACCCUGGUAGUC
rnacentral:rRNA from 1 species